UUCUCUCUUCAAUGCCCUCUCUCCCUCCACCAAAACCCUCCAGUCUCUCAAAACUUCACUCCGAUCCCACCAACGACACAUCGCCGAUAACCUUCUUUGCAUAACCCAACCAUUCAUUAACAUCUCUGAUCAAUCCCAGAUCACACAAGCAGUCUCUUCUCUUCAGCUGUUAUCACGCAAAGGCAUUCGAUUACCUUGUCAAACACUAGCUUACCUCUUCAUUUUCUUAGCUACUUAAUUAGUUGGGAUUUUCUCCAUGUUAGAUGUUCUUAUUGCUUUAGUGAGAUGGGCAUUGUUGUGUUGUCCUGUUGUUUUCUGGCAAGUUCAUUCAUCCAUAUUCAUGAAUUGAUUUUCAAAGGAACUGCAGAAUUUAAGUCAGUGAAAUAGACUCCAAAGAUGGAAGAGGAGAGUUACAUCUAUCUUGCAAUGCUUUGGAUUCCUAUGAAGUCUGUGAGUCUAUGGUUUUUACACUUUAUACCAGUAGUAACAUGAUUCAAUGGAAGUUGCUUGUCUUUGGUCCUCGUAUUCUCGUGUUCCGCAUCUCUAUUCAGACAAGAGAUAGCAAUUUUCUAGCAAGGUAGGAGGGAGGACGUCGUCUGUCUCCUAUCAAGUUCCAGAUGACUUGUUAAUACUUUCAUAGAAAAUCUCUUUCUAGUUC